GCCGGGCGUGGUGGCGGGCGCCUGUAGUCCCAGCUACUGGGGUGGCUGAGGCAGGAGAAUGGCGUGAACCCGGGAGGCGGAGCUUGCAGUGAGCCGAGAUCGCGCCACUGCGCUCCAGCCUGGGCGACAGAGCGAGACUCCGUCUCAAAAAAAAAAAUUUUGAGAUGGAGUUUUGCUCUUGUUGCCCAGGCUGGAGUGCAAUGGUAUGAUCUCGGGCUCACUGCAAACUCUGCCUCCUGGGUUCAAGCGAUUCUCCUGCCUCA
rnacentral:SRP_RNA from 1 species